GGUUAAGCGACUAAGCGUACACGGUGGAUGCCCUGGCAGUCAGAGGCGAUGAAGGACGUGCUAAUCUGCGAAAAGCGNNNNNNACGUGCUAAUCUGCGAAAAGCGUCGGUAAGGUGAUAUGAACCGUUAUAGCCGGCGAUGUCCGAAUGGGGAAACCCAGUGCAAUUCGUUGCACUAUCGUUUGAUGAAUACAUAGUCAAACGAGGCGAACCGGGGGAACUGAAACAUCUAAGUACCCCGAGGAAAAGAAAUCAACCGAGAUUCCCCCAGUAGCGGCGAGCGAACGGGGAGCAGCCCGGAGUCUGAAUCAGCUUGUGUGUUAGUGGAAGCGUCUGGAAAGUCGCAGGGUACAGGGUGAUACUCCCGUACACUAAAACACACAGGUUGUGAACUCGAAGAGUAGGGCGGGACACGUGGUAUCCUGUCUGAAUAUGGGGGGACCAUCCUCCAAGGCUAAAUACUCCUGACUGACCGAU
rnacentral:rRNA from 1 species